UACGGAGGGUGCAAGCGUUAAUCGGAAUUACUGGGCGUAAAGCGCGCGUAGGUGGUUUGAUAAGCGAGAUGUGAAAGCCCCGGGCUUAACCUGGGAACGGCAUUUCGAACUGUCAGGCUAAAGUGUGGUAGAGGGUAGUGGAAUUUCCUGUGUAGCGGUGAAAUGCGUAGAUAUAGGAAGGAACGCCGGUGGCGAAGGCGGCUUCCUGGCCCGUUACUGACGCUGAGGCACGAAAGCCAGGGGAGCGAACCGG
rnacentral:rRNA from 1 species